GGAUAGAUGAUGACUUCAAAAAUGGAUCUUGUUGGAAUCUUAACAAAAUGAGUGACAAAAUCACUGAUGUGAACUGAGGUCC
ensembl:snoRNA SNORD116 Small nucleolar RNA SNORD116